GAUGAACGCUGGCGGCGUGCCUAAUACAUGCAAGUCGAGCGAACAGACGAGGAGCUUGCUCCUCUGACGUUAGCGGCGGACGGGUGAGUAACACGUGGAUAACCUACCUAUAAGACUGGGAUAACUUCGGGAAACCGGAGCUAAUACCGGAUAAUAUAUUGAACAGCAUGGUUCAAUAGUGAAAGACGGUUUUGCUGUCACUUAUAGAUGGAUCCGCGCCGCAUUAGCUAGUUGGUAAGGUAACGGCUUACCAAGGCAACGAUGCGUAGCCGACCUGAGAGGGUGAUCAGCCACACUGGAACUGAGACACGGUCCAGACUCCUAAGGGAGGCAGCAGUAGGGAAUCUUCCGCAAUGGGCGAAAGCCUGACGGAGCAACGCCGCGUGAGUGAUGAAGGUCUUCGGAUCGUAAAACUCUGUUAUUAGGGAAGAACAAAUGUGUAAGUAACUAUGCACGUCUUGACGGUACCUAAUCAGAAAGCCACGGCUAACUACGUG
rnacentral:rRNA from 1 species